rnacentral:misc_RNA from 1 species
UUUUUAAGUGGAUUUACCUACGCUGUAAUUUAUAAUUUGUUGUAUAGCCCCAAAUUGGCUAUAGUAAAUUUCGUGGAGACUACAUAAGGAGCACGCACUUAAGUGUGGCAUUUGCCAGAGUAUGGGAGGGAGGGACAAAAUAUUAUUAUUAGAUUAAAUAAAUGAAUCAAUAAUUUAAAUAAUUUGGGAUCAUCAAACAUUAACAUUAAUUGUCAACAAACUUGGAAGAGAUGGCACGUGAUUUAUUGAUAAGGAAGGAUUUUAACGAAGGGUUUACAUAUAAUGAAAUAGUUAAUUUUCUAUGUAAAUAUCACAACAUUUCAAUAUCUCGUCGAAAUUUAAUUCGAAUUCUUAAAAAACUUGGACUGAAGCGUAAAUAUAUUGUUGAAGAUUUCUUGGAAAAAAUUGGUUCUGCCGUGAUUGACGAAAUAAACAGUAGUGGUUCCUGUAUUGGCUAUAAAAGAAUGUGUCAACGUUUAAAGCUGAUUUAUGGCUUAAAAGUAAAGAGGAGUACAGUUAAUAAAAUUUUACAUGUAGUUGAUCCAGAUUCUAUCGAAGAGAGGUCUCGUCGACGAUUAUUGAGACGUAAAUACUCUGUUCCUGGACCUAAUUUCCUUUGGCACAUUGAUGGCUACGAUAAAUUGAAACCCUUUGGGUUCGCUAUUCACGGAUGUCUUGAUGGAUUUUCUAGAAAAAUUACAUGGUUGGAUGUCGCUACAUCAAAUAAUAAACCGGAAAUUGUUGCACAUUAUUUUUUAAAAGCGGUACAAAGAUUAAAGUUACUUCCAACUUUAAUUCGAUCAGAUUGUGGUACAGAAAAUUGUAUUGUUGAAGCUCUUCAGCAAAGUCUACGUUUUCAUAAUGAUGAUAAUUUAGCUGGUUGGAAAAGUUUUAUUAAAGGCAAAAGUACGUCUAAUCAGCGUAUAGAAAGUUAUUGGUCUCAACUUAGACGUCAUGGUUUGGAUUUUUGGAUCAAUUAAUUUAAAGAUUUACGCGAGAGAGGUCUUUAUAAUGAUUCAUCAAUAUUACAUGAUGAAUGUUUACGCUUCUGUUUUGGACAUUUAAUUAGAGCUGAAUUGAAAAUGAUUCGUCAUGAGUGGAAUCGGCAUCGUAUAAGAAAACAAAAAAGUCGUCAUAUAGCUCCAGGAAAACCAAAUUGUUUGUAUUAUCUUCCUGAACUAAUUGGAGCAAGGGAUUACAAGAAACCAAUUGAUGAAAAUGCUGUUAAUAUUCUCAAAUCUGAUUAUACUCUGGAGCCUAAAUUGUACAAUGAAUUGUUUUGUCAAUUGGUAGGUGUAUUGAUACCUGACAUACAAUUACCUCUGAAUGUCGAAGAAAGUCUUGCACUUUAUUUUAAAAUCUUAAGUUUGUUAAAAAUUUAUACAUAGUUUCAAACAAAAUAUCAAGAUAUUUAAAAAAAAUCGAAAACAAAAAUACUCAAUCUUUUAAUUAUUCUUGGAAUACUGUUUUAAAACAAUGUCUUAAAACAAUUUUAUUAAGUUAUAGCUUAACGUGAUUUCAGAGUGUUUCUUACACGUAAUCCUAGCUCUAAAAAUUUUGUUGUUUUUUUGAAAUAUUCUUUCUAGCACGUAUGCGAUUACAUUGAUUGAAAAACAAAAAUUUGAAUUAAAAUUAUGACAAAAAUUAAAAUCAUAAAAAAAUUAGUCUUCAUAUAUAGUAAACUUGGAUAGAUCCUGAGAAUCGUGAGUAGUGAUUGUCGUCUUGCUGACAAUACGAUGAUUACUAAGAUUAACAAUGAACUGUGGGAUCUUGACAGACCUUUAGAACGUGAUUGCAAGUUGGAAUUACUCUAAUUUGACAGCCCUGAUGGUCAACAAGUCAUUUGGCACUCCAGUGCUCACAUACUGAGCGAAGCAAUGGAACGUGUCUACGGAGGUUGUCUCUGCAUCUUAGAGAUAAGAAAAUUUCAACCCUGAACUUCCCUUUUCUUGAAUCUUUGUAGAAGGACAUUGUAAAGGAAAAGGCAACCAUUUGAGCGUCUGGAAAUGACUAAAGAAGAUUUUUUGAAGAUGUUUGAGUACAAUGAGUUCAAAGUGAGAAUACUGAAAGAAAAAGUUCAGACUCCAACUACUACAGUCUACAGAUGUGGGCCGUUGAUUGAUUUGUUUCGUGGUCCUCAUCAGACACACGGGUAUGCUCGGGGCAUUGUCCCCAGGUGCGAUGCAUCCAGCAUUCGCGACUCGAAUGGGAUUCCCUGGUGGACCAAUGCUAACGCCGAUGAUGCAUCCACGCUUCAGAUGAUCACCUCAAGCUAACGGGCCUAAUCUAUCACUGCAUUUUGUGCUUUGGGCCCAGCCCUGACUUGGUCUCAAGUGAAAAAUUUACUGACUCAAAUCAAUAAUAUAAUUAUAUGUAAUAUAAUUACUAUGCAAGAGCCGUUAGUUUAAAUUUUCAAAAAACCGAAAAACGACUGUCAUGUGCAAAGUCAAAAUAUCAACGCUACUGAUCCUCAGUUAACACGAAGUUAGCAAAAGCCUUUUCUUUUUUUUGUUUUUAAUUAAUUAAUUAUCGAAUUAAAUAUUGUUACACUAAACAGCAUCUGGAA